rnacentral:misc_RNA from 1 species
GCAGAAUAAUAGUGCCAUAUAAGAAAACUGUACAAAGAAGAAAACUGUACAAAGAAGAAAUCACAAAGAGCAUGCAAGAAAAAGAGGCCUAUAAGAAAGUUCAAGAGGUUAUUUCCCCACAUAUGUUCAUGUUUUAAACAAAAUAUGCCAUAUAAAUCAAUUAUAGGUGCUAGAAGGUAGCAACUAGCAUGUCAGUAUGUCUUCUAAACUUGGUCAUAAAAAUACAGCUUUCUUGCGAUCUCCAAAACGCAUUAGGAAUGCCAUCCAACAACUUGCAUAGCACACAUAAUAUGAAGGAGGCAAAAUAGAUGCAAUCUAGGCUUAGCUCACAAUGUUGGGAAGGGCGAGUAGAAAUCCUAAGUUUGAGCACCAAGAUUAUGGAUCAUAAUCAUGGCACUCUCUUGUAUACAAAAAUAAAUAGUAAGGUGCCCAUUCGCUAUGUAGAAGUUAAUAUCUAAGAGUGCACAUAUGUACUUAGCAUGAAAGAGAUG